rnacentral:ncRNA from 1 species
AUACAUCUAACGAUGGGAGAAAGUAGUUUGAGAGUCACAUUGCAGAGAGCCGGCGGAUGGUGCGAGCCGGUAAUGACAAUCAGAUGAAGCUCCUCCCUAAAGAGCGGCACUGAAUGAUAUUAGGUGCUGACGGUAUUUCCCCGUUACAGGAGACGCGUAUGUUAGUACGUUGUAGAGCGCCCAUUGACAGCAAUGCCGUUGGGAAUCAGGGUGGUAUCGCGGAAUUAUAUCCGUCCCUCAU